rnacentral:lncRNA from 1 species
GAACUCCAAAAACAGUUAUUUCUCUUACUUCACCCUGCGGAAUACACAGAAAUGGAACUCCACAGACAUUUAUUUCUCUUACUCCUCUCAUGAUCCUACUGGUCCUGUUCAUUUCAACGCCAGAAACCAGUCUCGACGUUCCUUCCUCUAAAUUCAUUCAAGUCUUGAGACCUUGGAAAAACAAAAAAAUCAUCUUCAUCAUGGUCACAUAUACAAUAAUUGUAAUAAUAUAUAGCCUGAUCAUAAGUUCAGUAGGACUCUAUAAGUAUAUCAUCAAAUUAAUAAACAAGUCACUUACGAAGGAAAAUUAAAGUAAAUGAAGCAAAGCUUAAAUUCAGUUUCCUUCAAUUAAAUACAGGUGGAUCCUUCACGAAUCAGCACUUCAGUGGCUCAGUCUUCGGUGGAUGCUUAUGUUAUGUGUUAAUAAAUAUCAGAGGCACGACCCAAAGACUUCGAUUUUUCAAGUCAACCAGGAACACAUAAUUAUUGUUUGGGGUCCGCUUAUAAUAUUUUCAGGCUAGCUCUGUAGCUCAAGCAUGAAAAACGGGGAAAGUAAAGUGCAAGAAAAUUCCAGAUUCUUUUUUCAAUUGUUCUUUAUACUGUGUAGCUAAUGUACAAAAGUGAAAAUGAAUCUUUGCUUGCAUUUUUUUAAAUUAGCGGCAUAAAAAGAAUGGAGUGAAAAGUACAGAGACCUUGAAUGAUCAUUGAAAGCCAUUAAAGAAUGUAGACAAAAGUUAAUUGCAUUAGAAAGUACUAAUAAUGAAUUAUUUAGACAAAAUAUAGUAUUGCAAAAUCAAUGUCAGAUUUUAUUACUUAUCAGUUAUCACCAGAAAACUCAAAACACUUCAACAAAAGCUAGCACUAGAAGAAAUAUUUAACCAUUCCCCAGUAGGACAAUUAAUAAAAAUUCAAAAAAUUUCUUCCCUCAUUGGUGAUAGUAUAGACAUUGUAAAAAAAAUUUUAUUUCAGUAGCCAAUCAAAUAUUCUAUAGCAUAUUAAAUUUCUUAGAAUUGUUAAAUUACAAUAAGAAAUUUAUGCCAAAAUCUUAGUACAUUAAUAAGACCAUUAUAUAAUAAAUUAAGUAAAAAUGGACAAAAGUAUUUUAAAUUUUAUAGUGAAGAUAUUAAAUUAAUACAAAAACUUAAAGAAAUAGGAAUUUUUUUAAUCUACAUCAUCAUAUGUUAAUUCCUCAUUAUUACAUAAUUCUUCAAAUAAUUCUUCAUCUAAACAUUUUUAGGAUUAUUAAAUAUUAAUUCUAUAAUCUUAUCUCUAAUAUUAUGUAGAGUUUUCUCUUUAUCUGUAUUUAAAUUUUUUACUAUAGCAUAAAAAGAAUGGAGUGAAAAGUACAGAGACCUUGAAUGAUCAUUGAAAGCCAUUAAAGAAUGUAGACAAAAGUUAAUUGCAUUAGAAAGUACUAAUAAUGAAUUAUUUAGACAAAAUAUAGUAUUGCAAAAUCAAUGUCAGAUUUUAUUACUUAUCAGUUAUCACCAGAAAACUCAAAACACUUCAACAAAAGCUAGCACUAGAAGAAAUAUUUAACCAUUCCCCAGUAGGACAAUUAAUAAAAAUUCAAAAAAUUUCUUCCCUUAUUGGUGAUAGUAUAGACAUUGUAAAAAAAAAAAUUAUAAAAAUUUUUAGCAAGAUUUUAUUUCAGUAGCCAAUCAAAUAUUCUAUAGCAUAUUAAAUUUCUUAGAAUUGUUAAAUUACAAUAAGAAAUUUAUGCCAAAAUCUUAGUACAUUAAUAAGACCAUUAUAUAAUAAAUUAAGUAAAAAUGGACAAAAGUAUUUUAAAUUUUAUAGUGAAUAUAUUAAAUUAAUACAAAAACUUAAAGAAAUAGGAUUUUUUUUUUCUCUACAUCAUCAUAUGUUAAUUCCUCAUUAUUACAUAAUUCUUCAAAUAAUUCUUCAUCUAAACAUUUUUAGGAUUAUUAAAUAUUAAUUCUAUAAUCUUAUCUCUAAUAUUAUGUAGAGUUUUCUCUUUAUCUGUAUUUAAAUUUUUUACUAUAGCCAUAUUUAUUUCUAUUUCUUCUUCAUUUUCUUCUAAUUAUGGAUUACCUAUUUUUCUAUAAUUAUUAAACCUCUGUGUAACUUAAUUAUGUAAUUCUUAGUGCUUUCUAUCUUGCUAUCUAUUGCAUUUUCUUCCUCCGAUAGUGAGUCAAAAAAUGCAAUAUCUACUUCUUUUUCUAUUGCUAGUGAUUUCUUUUCGUAAGGCAAAAUAUGCAUCUCAAAUUUAGGUUGUACAAAUGUUGAUUUUUUAAAGAAAUUUAUCCCAUUAGUAGUUGUUAAUAUACUACUAUUAUCUUCUAAUAUAAAAUUUAAUCCUAAAAUAAACUUAUAUCCUACUUUUUUACAACAGAUAAAUGUUUGAGGAACUCUAUUAACGGUUUCUCUAAACUCAUUCAUUUACUGUUAAUUUUAUUAAAUUUAAUUGUAUUUGUAAAUCUCUUUGUGUAUUUUUAAUAUUUUUUAUUUCAACUUUUAAAACUUCUACAAGACUUUUGAUUUAUAAUUCUACUAGUUUAGGUGCUUUUAUGUCUAAUAAUUUUAUUAAUUCUAUUAUUUCUUUUUUAUUACGGAACCUUGUAAUUUGACUAUUAAAAUCAGCUAAUGACUCUUUAAUAUAGUCUAAAUUCUUUCUUCGUGUAUUUUAUGUUACUUGCUUCAAAAAAUUGUCCUAACCGUAAUACUAGUUCUUUAAGCUUUUCUAGUUUAACUUCUAAGUGCUGUCCAAGAUUAAUUAUUAAGUCUAUUGUUGACCAUUACUCGUAUAUGGAAUAUGUUUAUAUUGAUUUUCUAAAUGCUCUAUAUUAUGAUUAAGUUUAAUUUUAUUUUCCUAUGACUACUAAUUUGUAAAUCCAAAUAUGCUAGUUUUUGAAAAUUCAUAAACUAAUUCUUUAACUAUUCUAGUUUAUUUCUAAUUUUAAAAAUUACAUUUUCAUAAUGAUCUAAUAAAUUUAGUUGUCUAUUGUAACUAUAUUUUACUAUAGAUAAGUGUGUAAGAGUGUAAUAUCUAACACUGACUUUUUUUUUUUUUAAUCAUUAUAGGGUCUAAUGGAUUUUUUUUUUAAUCAUUAUAGGGUCUAAUGGAGAUGUGUAAUCUACUAGAAGUUUAUUAUUUUCUAAUCUUUUUUCUAUUAAAUUAUUUAAUAUAGAGUGUUCUGCACUAAUUUCUACUUUUUUCUAGCUCUACAAUUUUUAAAGCAAUUUCUAAUUUUUCGGUAAAAGGAUUAAUCACAAAUACCCACAGCCAAAUUUGCUUUUGAAAGACUUGGAUUUUGCAGUCUUAUGUGUGACAUUUGUGCUGUGUUAUCUAUGGCCGCAUCCAAUCAUAUCUUACUAAAUUUUUGUACCGCGCUACCUAAAAUUUUCCCACUACCGGUAAUUUGAUAAGAGUCUUUGUCUUCUUCAGUCAGGCACGAAAAAAAAAAUGUUGGUUCAGAUCUAACUAUUCAAUCAAGAGCUAGCUCAGGACAAAAAGAAGUGUGCAAUUAGGGGACGAUACCGUAGACAGACAAUAGACAAAUUUUUCUUUGAAUGGUUUACUUUUGACUAAAUGAUCGGUGAUCCAACACCACUGAUCGUUUUUCAAAGGGACCCAUGUUAUGGAUGAAAAUUGAUAAAACUUGAACCCUAUUUUUUUUUCCCCCUCUCCGUUGUGUGAAUCAACCUUGGUUAAUUAAACUCACCGAAAUUGGAGGGGGAAAAAAUCUUGAAAAUACAUAAUAAUCUGCUCCAUUUCUACUUAAAAACUUUCUCUUUUAUGCAUCAUACUGGCCUUAAAUUCUUGCAGCAGAAAGCAAAACGCAGGGACCAUAAAGCCAUCAAUAGUUCUCUAAAUUUCCAAAUAUAUGCAACAACAAUAGUCAGUACACAAACUACUUUCAGGAGAUUUAUUUAACAACUUAGAAACGAGAUGUAAUUUGUAUUUAAAAUAUAAAUCAAUGACUAUAAGCUUAUUAUAACAAGCAUAGGAUGUGACCAGCCUAUUUUUCUUUAGCAAUAAAAUGAGGUUCCACAAGCUGCCUGGACAUAGGGUGUGUUUGGGAGAGCAGCUGCCUAUAUUCUAGGAGGAUAUGCCAGUGCGGCUGCCUCAAACGUAGGGAUGACAAAUAUUCAAUUAUGGAUGGAUAAUAUCCAUCCAAACACAAAUCCAUAAUUAUCCAUAAUGGAUAUAUCCAAAUCCAUACACAAUAUUUAAUAUUGGACAUGUAUAUGGAUUUUAUCCAUAUAACUAUGGAGAUCCAUGGAUAUCCAUGGAUAUUUUAUUUUUAUUAUAUAAAAAUAAUAAUCUAAAAUAGUUAAAAUUUCAAUAUUAAAUUUGGUUAUUAAACUAUUUAUAUUACUAAUAAUAUAUAUAUAUAUAUAAUAAAAUGGAGGUCCGGCGACGGUUCGGCGAUGUCCGACGGUGGUCCGGCAACUUUCCGGCGAAUUCAGGCGGAGCUCCGGCAACUUUCCGGCGAAUUCCUGCGGAGGUCUAGCGAAAUUCCGGCGAGGUCCGGUGGUGGUCCAAUGACUUUCCGGUGGAUGUCCAUUUAUAAUAUUAAAUUAAUAAAAUAAAAUAAUAAUUAUUAAUAGUCUGCUGUAUUUUUAUAAUUGUUUGUUUAUUAUAUUUUUUAUUUUUUAUUUUAUAAAAUUAAAAUUUUUUAAACUUGUUUUGAGUUAAACGGAUAUCCAUUGGGUAAAUAUAAUUAUCUAUAUCCAUCCAUAUUCAUCUGGAUAUAAUUUUAAAAUAUCCAUUUCAAAAUCCAAAAUUUUUUGGAUGGAUAUUAUCCGAUCCAAUUGGAUGGAUAUUGUGGAUAUCCAUUAUGAAGCGAUCCAGUUGCCAUCCCUACUCAAAUGCACACAUAAUUGUGGGGCGCUCUGUCUAGACGUUUCUGUAUUCCUUGUAGAAUGAGAGAAAGUUCCUUUCACAGCGGCCAUGAGCAAUUUUAUGAAUGAAGUUGCCUGGAUGAAUAGAGCUGCCCUACUAGGCUUAAUGAGUGACAUUUUUCAAGUCAUCAGCCAUAGACAAAAGGCUUCAACUUUAUGCUUGAAAAGCUCUGGUUGAGAUGGCACGCUGAAGUAUUGUUGGCUUGCUCUUACUAUCUGUCCAUGGCUACCAGAAAAUGAGAAAAUUCUUUUUACAAUGUCCUGGAAUAAUUUUAAAAAUCGAGCUGCUUUAAUGAAUGGAGCUACUCGUUUCUGCUCAAAGAGUAAUAAAUCAUCGGCUGUGAGAACAAAGGCUAUAAUAAAUCAUCAACUUUUGUAAGCGCUUGAAUGGUUCCUGUUGAGGUAGGGAGGUCAGAUGAAAAAUGGUCAAUUCUCCAACUCCAAGUCAACGAAUAUGCGUCUCCUAAUGAUUCAUAGCAAUCGUCACAUGAUUUCUUGACGAGCGAGAUAUACUGCUUCCCAUGUUAUAGUUUAUAGGGUGAUUAUGAUAUAUGUAGACCAGGGGUUACGCCUUGACCUUGACCUUGGAUACUUUGUUGAUGAUUUAAUUCUAGCAAUGUCUGAUGGGUCUCAUUUGACAAUUAAUAACAAUCCUGCUACCAGAUACCUGCUCAUCAUGGCUGGUCUUGUGGAGGUAUUACCCCCAAACAGGCUCCAUCGAAUACAAAGCAAGAACCUCAGAGAUAAACUGUUUUGCUCCAUAACACCAGAAUUAAUAGCAUCAAAGAAUAUCCCAAAAUCAUAGAUAGUUGCAUUUUGAGUCUUUGUAGAGCAAAAAUCAUUAGAAAAUGUGUAGCCUGGCCCAUUUAGUUUGUUUAUAUGAAUUCUUCCUUUCUUUAAUCAAUGCAUACAAUCGCUUAACCUUUAGCAAAUGUUGGACAAUAAACAGUUUCAUCACAGAGAAAAAUUUCUGGCCACUCAUCACGUUACUAUAAACUAAAAGCACCAACACCUGAACAGUUUGUACACCAUAAAGAUAGAAUUAUCAAUUAUGAAAUAUGAUUCCAUAUGAAAAGAAAAAGAAAAUUACAACCUAUGUGUGCUUGCUAGGAAUCCAACAUAAAUUGGUUUGGGCGUCCAUAGGUGUGCGCGCGUGCCCUUGCUUGGCUAAUUGGAACAAAUAAGUAAAAAGUACGACAGAACAAACAUUUACCUGUGGGAGUGGAAGAAUGAUGGCGAGAUCAAAUAGGAAGACGGGCAACAGAGAUAUGCUAUAAUUUCGAUGCCAAUUCUCCCAUAGUUGAAAAGCAUUAUUUAUCAAAAAAUAUAUAUCACAUCCUGUGCGUUCAACAAUACCCACCCUCAAAACCCAUAUGUCAAAUUGGAAGCACUUUUUGUCAUCGUUGAUCACGGGAAGGUACAAGAAAACAGGAUCAAAUACCAUGGAAUACACAUAAAUCAGCAAAAAAUUAACUUCCAGGAAACGUUUCGGCAGAUCACGAAUCUGCUGAAGGGAUGUUUUUUCUCCAUUACUCAAGCUUUCGAUCCGAGUGCGAUAAACAGAUUUUCCUGCUUCUCUCGCGCUCCUACUGAUGCUGUCCAUUUCAACACUAGCAACCCGUCUCGGCGUUCCUUCCUCUAAAUUCAAGUCCCGAGACUUCAUCGUCAUCACCAUAUACGAUAAUUGUAAUAAUACAUAGCUUGCACUUCAGCUCAGUAGGGCUCUAUACGUAUGUCAUUAAAUUAAUAGACAACUCGCUUAAGGCUUACAUAAUCAACGAAGGGGAAGGGAAAUUUAAGUAAAUGAAGCAAAGCUUGAUUUCAGUUUCCUUCAAUUAAAUACAGGUGGAUCCUUCACAAAUCAUCACUUCAGUGGCUGAGUCUUCGGAGUUCAGAGCAUGCUUAUCUUAUGUGCUAAUAAGUAUCUAGACACUGUGGUUCCUCAAGACUUUGACUUCAUGCACAAUUAAUCAAACAACCAAAAAAAAAAAAUUUCCAAUAAAUAUGUAAUUUCUGUAGCACCUUUUGAUUGAGUUGGGGCCGCAGGCAACUAAUAGUUACGACUUGAGGUUAGAACUUAUCCAUAUGCACAUUCUCAAUCUACGGUUCAUUAACCAAAAUUUUGGCCCCGAGAGGCUGCAAGCCUUAUCACGUCCCUCGUGUUUUUUGCUCACUAGUAGAAUUGAGUCUUUGUGCUUAUUGCUCAAGAUAAAUGUAAGCCUUACAAAUAUGAACUUGUUAAGAAUCCAAAUCCAAACUUGUGAACAAUGUCACGAUGCCCAUUACAAAUUUGAGCAAUGGUAGGAACAGUCGGGGCCUGCGUCCCCGGUCGCUUUAGAAAAUUUUUGAAGACCUCUGACCUUACUUCCUUUGAUUUUAUAAAAAUAUCCCAUUUGAGUUUUAAAAUUAUGAAAAGUUCAGUGCUUAUCUCUAGUUCAAAAAUUGAACUUACUUACUGCUAGUUCAAACACUGAAUUUUUGUGUAAAAAAUAAAUCAAUGGUCAUAUAUUGUUAUUUAAAUUCUUAUGAAAUUGUAUUAUACUAAUAAGGGUUUAAAAUGGAGAUAAAGAAAUCUCAUUUGUUAAAGACUAAUUCUCACCCUUUAUUAUUAUUUGAACUCAGAUGACUGCGGGUGCAAAACAUUUUUUCAGUCAGCUGAAUUUCAUUAAGAGAUGACAUUGUAUUAUAUGUUGAAUUUGAUCCAAUCGAAAAUUUUUUCUGGCUCGUCACUCUCAGACAUAACUUAGUUCACUAUAUGAGCAUAUUACGUGAUUGAAUUUCAUUGUCUUUUGUUGAUUCUCUGACCAUCUUAUGAUGUCUAGAUUGUAGUAUAUAAACCAGGUAAUAGAAGUCUAAAUACUUUGUAUAUAAAUUUUAAUGUCAUACUGUAAUUACUGUCUGCCAAUACUAUUGUAUUUUUCACUUUUACAGUCAGAAAAUUGUGCUGGGGCUUACUUAUGAUACGAGAAAUGUCUCAUUUUUAUCAAAAGAAAAUUACACUGCAAUAUACGUCCGUGGCAGGCAAACAAAGGACGGUUAAGGUAUCUUCAUCUGGAUUUGUAAUCUCGUUGAUGUAGAGUUUUACAUCAUUAAAGAUUCCGCCACGUGUCACACAUGAACGAAUCUGGCACGUGCCGACCACAAUCUCCCAUCUCAUUAUGUUCCUUCCAGUUUUCUCUCACUUUCUCGCGACAGAAAGUGUCGAACUCAAUAACAAAUAAAAAUUUCACAAACCCUUUUUCAAGUGCAUUGCAUAAACACUUUCUCACUCCCUGAAAAGUUGUUAAAGGUACAAUUUUUAACACCCUUUCUGGUUAAAAAAAAAAUGCAUUUCUGAUUCUACCAGGCACUUGAACAGGCUUCGGUUUCUUUGGUUUUGUAAAUUAAUGGUAAAACAAAUUAAAGAUUAAAGCUUUUAGGGGUUUGCUUGCUUCUUGCUGUUCAUUUUGGUUUCGCAAUUAUUAAAUUUUUAAUUACAGUUCUCGUACAUUCGUGCAUUGAUUUUUUUUUUUAUUAAGAUUCAUUCAAUAUCGUGUUUGUGUUAGGUGCUUGGUUCUUAUAUGUUGUUGGGUAUUGGUGAAUGAAUGAGAUGACAAUCUGUUCAUAAUUAUUAUUAGGCAAUGGUAAAAAGAAAAAAAAUUAAUUCUGUUAGUUUGGUUGGUGAGAGUAGUCGAAAAUAUUUAAUGAACUACGAAUACUUGCGAAUGGGUGAAUCACGUAAUCUUAAUUUUUGUGAAGCCGUGUAUUCGCAAAGGCAAGUGUGUGGGCGUUAGGGGUGGGCAAAUUCGGUUUGGAUCGGUUUGAAAUAUUUUCAAACCGAUAUCAACCUAAAAUUUUUUCAAACCGAACCGAUCCAAACUGAUUGGAUCAGUUUGGAUCGGUUUGGAUCCUCGGUUUGAGCUUAUUAGCUAAAAGCCCACUUCUUUUAUAUUAUUUUACCUAAAUUAUUUGUUUUUUUUUGUGUCCGUAAUCCAAAUUGAUACCUCUUUUAUAUUAUUCAUAUCUACUUUGAUAUCUACAUAACAAUUCAAAGAUACAUCCAUACAAGUUUGCAGCAUAAUACAUCCUAAUAAAGAUGUUCUUAACAUGUUCAUUCAAAACAAACUCACAAAAUUAAAAUAAACUUAAACAACAUUUGACAAUUAAAAUAUUGUGCAUCUUGUCCGUCAAAACUUAUGGCCCAAUUACUUUUGAUUUGUCAAAAUCUGCAUAAAAUGAUAAAUAUAAUUAGUUAGAUUGCUUAACUUAGAAUAUAAUGUAAUUAUAUAAUAUUUCUAGAUUGGAUCGGUUUGAAUCGGUUUGGAAUCCUUCCAAACCGAAAUCCAAACCGAGUGAUGUCGGUUUGCAAUCCAAUAAACUAAAAUCAGUUUUUUUACUAAUGAAACCGAUCCAAAUGAUCGGUUUGGAUCGGUUCGGUUAAAAUAUGCCCACUCCUAGUGGGCGUGGUUGAUAGGAAACUGAGAAGCACAAAUGCACAACAACUUCUUUCACAAUUUUUAAAUUUUGAAUUGAUUGCACUGCACGCAAGUUUCAAAUUUUGUUAGUUACAAUAAUAAAAUCGAUAUGACUACUACAUGUCUCCAUUUUACAACAGGAGUGCACGGCACCAAUCAAAAAUUAAAUUUUUUAUUAUUUAAUAAUAAAAAAAUUCUGGAUUAAUUUUAUUGCACACCCAAUGAACAAAACAAACAAAAACUAAAAAAAAUAAAGUAAAUAUCAUUGUCGGUGGCCAUCUUUAUCCAGUCAUCAAAGAAUUGGGUAAAAUUAUUGAGUGUUUUAAGUGUAUUAUUAUUCUGUGUGUUUUUUAAAUUAUUAAUUAUUUAUUGUGGUUAUAUAUUAAUUAUUCGUAAUAAUAUUUUAUAUACAUAUUAAAAUGAAUAGAUAAAAAAUAAUACUCUUCAAGUACCAAAGAAUUUUUCUCUCUUAUAAAUUGAAUCCAAUAAUUUAGUUAUAUUUAUCUCAUUAUCUGUAAUCUAUUAUUACAAAUAUUUAAACUUAAAACAUACAAAUCAAGAUAAUGUGAUUGUUAAAUUAAAACUCUUUCCAAAGUCAAUAAGUAAUCUUUCACAGCUUACAAGGCCUCAACUGAUGAGCAUUUAUUUAUGCAUUUUGGAUGGCCAUAGGAAUUAUAAAUCUUCCAGAGGCAUCAGAUUAAGGACGAAUUACAAUAAAUAAUAAGUAAAGCGAUUGUCACAAAAAAAAAUUUUAUUUCAAGAAUAAUUAGUGUUCAUAAAGAGUUAUGGAUGCAUUAGCGUUUAUUUAUUCAUUUCAUGUACUGAAUAAAAUGGGUGGCUAACUUAUAUUUAAAUUGUCAAAUGGUUCUGUUUCGGCAAUAUAAACUUGGUACUUAUGUUUUGGAAAAUUUUUAAGAUUAUAUAAAAUACUGUUGCUUGUUUAGGAAAAUAACUGUUUGAUGUUUUGGCAAUAUACCCAAGGUAAUGUUGCACUCCGUUCUAUUGAUAUCUGUAGUUCUAUUAAUCUUUUGAUAAUCAUUUUUUUGAAGUUUGACAGCUUCAGAAACGAUAUUAAUCUCAAUUGUUUUUAUCAUUAAGUUCAAACUUUGAAUUUUCUACUUAAUGAUGUUUUGAGAAGUGGGAAAUUUGUUGUUUAUGCUUUAGAUUGCAUAAGUCCAGACACAAGAUUUGGUUAUGGAAUUGAAUGUAUCCUGUGAAAUCUUUUUACGAUUGAGGGUUCUUUUCUUGGUUACAGUGGUGUCAUUGGGUUUCUGAUAUGCUCAACAGAGGGACCUCAUGUUGAUUUUGCGAACCCCAUUAAUCCUAUUGAGAAGUUGGAUGGAGCUGACAAGCAUAAAAGAGAAUUAAGGUUCUAUACCUCAGAGGUAAAGGCUCCUCAUUUCAAGUCUAGCUUUCCUUGGUCGUUGCUUCUUGAUUCUUUUUCUUAGAUAACCUAAAUGCUUGUGUGGUUGAAUUGUCAUUGAGUUAAUAUUUUGGUAGUGUUACUGUGUUAGAUGAGAAAGUAUGAUGGCCUGCAUUUAAUAUUUGUGUUGUGUUGACAGAUUCAAUUAUAUAGUUGCCUCCGCGUUGCCUGCAUUUUUGAAGAGGGAGGUGAGCGUACUUAGUGAUUCUCCAACUCCAAGUCAACGAAUCUGCGCGUCCUAAUGAUUCAUAGCAAUCAUCCCAUUUAUUUAUGAUUAGCGAGAUUUAGUGCUUCCCAUGUUAUAGUUUAUAGGAUGAUUAUGAUAUAUGUAGACGAGGGGUUACGCCUUGAGCUUGACCUUGGAGACUUUGUUGAUGAUCUGAUUAUAGCAAUGUAUCAUGGUUCUUGUUAAGUAAAUAAGAGCAUCAGCUCUGCCAUAUCAUCAUCCCCACCCCGGGGUGGGUCACCUCAGCCAAAUGGUACGAGCAGAGCACUGAUAAUGAGCCUUAUACAAGCAUGGACCGACCAAAGAUGAGUACCGGCCAGGGGGAUACACCGACCAGAGACAUAUACCGAGCAGAUACUCAUUCCCCAAAGAGCGGGAACACGAUCUCACAAGAUCUCGACAGUUGCGCUUUUCCCAGAACUGUUGAGGGAGACACGAUGUCCCAUGUUUGCCCACAAUGUAGCAGUUGGAGUCCCAUGAGGGGCUGCCAUGACCCGAGAAAGGGGGGAUGAAGGGUGAUCAGAAACGUGGGACAGCGGCUAUAAAAGAGGAAGAAACCAAUGAAAAAGAGAUAAGAAAACUGAGAGAGAGGGAAAACUCUGCCAAAAUGAAACUAGACUGUUUUUCUGCCUAAAUUGAGAGCGAAUCGUAAGCCAUUCUGAAAUCUAAAUUGAACCGUUUUCCCGUAAACACCUUGUGCUAACUUAGGCAUCGGAGGGUUUACGCCGGUAAAACCACCGGCGUCUCUGAUCCAUUUCUUUGUGAAUGCAGGAUUAGCGAGAUAAAAAGGGGUGAUUUCAACCUAGUGACGUAAGCGGUCGUUAAGGCAAGGAGAGAGUGACAUCGUCCCAUCAAACAUAUAAACGUUGGUGGAAAAUCUGGUCGGGUAAAGGGCGAGCAGAUUUCAACAUCAACAGUUCUCAUUUGACAAUUAAUACUUAUUUUAUUAUAUUAAUAGCUUACUUUUAAACUUCAUGAAAAUUAUAUGAUUAUCGUUCAAUUUAGAUUUUCUUUUAUUAUAAAAGUUUUGCCAGUGGCCAUCUUAGCGAUGGAUUGAUUAAUAAAAUUUUCCCAUUAUAGGAUGGAAUAAAUAUUAAAAUCAGGAACACACUAAUUUAAUAUCAUUCGAUGUAUCUCUACUAGUUAUAAUUUCUAUUAUCUUCAUCAUCCAAGUCACCUAAGAAUUUUCCCAUCUUUACUGAGUGCUGACAGUGCCACAAGCAAGCCAAGAUAUUAGUUUGUUAAGUUCUCUUGUGAGUCAACUCUGCGCGCGUGUGUUAGAGCUUGGUAAUUCCAUUACGGACUGAAGUUUAGCAGUUAAAUGCUUACUCCCUUGGUGUACGCAUAAUUUCUGAAUGAUACAUUUUGCUGGAAAAGAGACGGUCCAUACUGCCAUCCGAACUAGAAAUUAGGACAUAGAAAAUAUAUAUAAUCAAACACUAUAACGGAGUAAUGCUAACUUCAUAUAUAUACACAUCAACUGUAUCAGGCUUCGGUUUCGAAUAUCUCAAACUCAUAUACUUCCGUCCAAAUUUAUUCUUGGGAUAGGUCCUUAAUUAAGAUCAUGAACACGCCCUAAAAUACUAACGAUGCCGCAUCUGAUCUGAAUGCUCAAACUAUUAUUUUAGUAGCCGACGCUUGCGCACUCCAUCUAGUUUGUCAGAAUACUUGCAUACGGUAGCUGCAUUGUUUUGCUUAAUUAUCAAUAUUCAAUAGUACCUGCUUUAAAUCAUAUGCCAUAAGAACAAAUGCUUCAACUUUUGUAAGCGCUUGGAUUGUUUUAGUUGAUAUAGGGAGGUUGGAUGAGUUGUGGCCAGCCUUCGCCCAAGCAAUGAGUUCUUCUCCAGAAAAGUCACCACCUUCCAGAUGGUUGUUCAGGUUACCAGAAUUGCUUGAUAAUUCAGUUACCCUCCUGGAAGUGUAGGUCCAUAACUUGCCUUGUAGCACGAAGAGCAUUUGAUCAAUUGGGUUUUCCUCCUGGAUAAUGUAAGAGCGCUCUGUGAAGACAGCUGGCUUCACAACAUCACACAGUUUCUCCAACGAUGAACCAUCCAAGUUUCCAAACUCUUCUACCUAUACAAACAUACAUCCAAUAUUGUUACUGUAAUCUAAAAGGCUCAAUGCUGAUAAUGAAAUUCAGCUUCUGAAUGCAGAAAAUUGAAAAUAAAAGUUGAUCUAGAACUAUCUCAGCUAAAAUGAGAUUCAUUCCCCAACGCUAAAAACAUAUCAGGGUUGAGUUUAUGUUGAGGUGAUGUGGACUUUAGCUAUUGCGCUUUCAAAACCAUGCAAAAGUUCAAAUAGUUACAAACAUUUACCCUUGAGUUUAUUCGAUCGAGUUAAAGAAGAGGAAAAUAUUUUCAUUAGUUUUUCGGAUUGUUGUUUAUAUGCUGCUAGCCUCUCCUUUGUCAGUUCCACAAAUUCAGAAGUAGGAGGCACAAAUAUAGUUGUAAAGAUCUCUUACUCACUUUUUUUAGCAGGUCUAAGCAGAGUUUUUGUUUUAUGUUCUUCCUGAGGUCCUCUGGAAGAUUGUUCACCAGAUAUUCUACAUCAAUACCUGUGGUUUCUUGCACUUUGGAUAACUGAUGUUCCUUGAUCUCCAUUUGGAGUUUCUCAGGGAGCUUUUCAACGGGCCGCCACUUGUAUAUUUCUUGUACCUUCUGUCUUAUCUCCUCUGCUUUUGACAUUUCAGACUGCAAAUUGCGCAAGAAUCAUAGUUCAUAGAAAAUUAAAAUUUAUUGUGCUUCAUCUCAAUCAACCAUAAAGAACCCAUUUUAAGAGACAAGAAUCAGACGAGAAAAUAAAAUAAAAUAAAAUAAAAUAAAGAUACACCAACCUGGACCUUUCCAAUCAAGAAGAAAAACAGCACUACCCCAGUGAUGGUAAUUGAAAUCACAAAGAUGUUUUCCAAGACAUUGGUACUGAAUGGGAGACCUUGACCAAAAGAACUGCAAAGUCAAACCCACAAAUUUAUUAGAACUAAUGUUUUUGAGUUUAAUUGCUAAAAAAACAUAAAAAUACGUAUGCGUAAUUAUAUGCACCAAAAACAUAGAAAGGCAUAUGCACAAAGAUUGUUACAAGGAGAAUGAUGUAUAUCCACAACUUAACCUGAGAUUUUGCAGGCUCCAUCGAAUACAAGGGAAGAACCUCAGAAAUAAAUUGUUUUGCUCAAUAACACUAGAAUUAAUAGCAUCAUAGAAUAUCCCAAAAUGGUAGGUAGUUGCAAUUUGAGUCUUUGUAGAGCAAAAAUCAUUAGAAAAUGUGUAGUUUGUUAAACUGUUGUCACAGUGUAAGGGAAGGAGACGGCAUUUGGCAGAAUCUGUGCAGGCUUUCCUCCAACAUUCGGUCUUUCUUUGUAGAGCAAAAAAGUACCAUAAUGCUCCAAACCCCUAAACAACCAUCAAUUAGAUCAUCAGGAAUUAUAAAUUACCCAAAAAGAGUAAAGAGAAAUAGAAUAUAUUGGAGACUUGGGAGGCAAGUAAACUUACAUUAGCAGCAUGUAGGUAAAAGAGAUUGAACGUGAGCCUGGCCCAUUUAGUUUGUUUAUAUGAAUUCUUCCUUUCUUUAAUCAAUGCAUACAAUCGGAUAACCUUUAGCAAAUGUUGGACAAUAAACAGGUUCAUCACAGAGAAAAAUUUCUUGCCACUCAUCACGUUACUAUAAACUAGAAGCACCAACACCUGAACAGUUUGUACACCAUAAAGAUAGAAUUAUCAAUUAUGAAAUAUGAUUCCAUAUGAAAAGAAAAAAAUUACAACCUGUGUGCUUGCUAGAAAUCCAACAUAAAUUGGUUUGGGCGUCCAUAGGUGUGCGCGCGUGCCCUUGCUUGGCUAAUUGGAACAAAUAAGUAAAAAGUACGACAGAACAAACAUUUACCUGUGGGAGUGGAAGAAUGAUGGCGAGAUCAAAUAGGAAGACGGGCAACAGAGAUAUGCUAUAAUUUCGAUGCCAAUUCUCCCAUAGUUGAAAAGCAUUAUUUAUCAAAAAAUAUAUAUCACAUCCUGUGCGUUCAACAAUACCCACCCUCAAAACCCAUAUGUCAAAUUGGAAGCACUUUUUGUCAUCGUUGAUCACGGGAAGGUACAAGAAAACAGGAUCAAAUACCAUGGAAUACACAUAAAUCAGCAAAAAAUUAACUUCCAGGAAACGUAUCGGCAGAUCACGAAUCUGCUGAAGGCAUGUUUUUCCUCCAUUACCCAAGCUUUCGUUCAGAGUGCGAUAAACAGAUUUUGCUGCUUCUCUCGCGCUCCAACUGAUGCAGUCCAUUUCAACACUAGCAACUCGUCUCGGCGUUCCUUCCUCUAAAUUCAAGUCCCGAGACCUGAAAAAAUAAAGUCAACUUCAUCGUCAUCACCAUAUACGAUAAUUGUAAUAAUACAUAGCUUGCACUUCAGCUCAGUAGGGUUCUAUACGUAUGUCAUUAAAUUAAUAGACAACUCGCUUAAGGCUUACAUAAUCAACGAAGGGGAAGGGAAAUUUAAGUAAAUGAAGCAAAGCUUGAUUUCAGUUUCCUUCAAUUAAAUACAGGUGGAUCCUUCACAAAUCAUCACUUCAGUGGCUGAGUCUUCGGAGUUCAGAGCAUGCUUAUCUUAUGUGCUAAUAAGUAUCUAGACACUGUGGUUCCUCAAGACUUUGACUUCAUGCACAAUUAAUCAAACAACCAAAAAAAAAAAAUUUCCAAUAAAUAUGUAAUUUCUGUAGCACCUUUUGAUUGAGUUGGGGCCGCAGGCAACUAAUAGUUACGACUUGAGGUUAGAACUUAUCCAUAUGCAUAGUCUCAAUCUACGGUUCAUUAACCAAACUUUUGGCCCCGAGAGGCUGCAAGUCUUAUCAUGUCCCUCGUGUUUUUUGCUCACUAGUAGAAUUGGAUCUUUGUGCUUAUUGCUCAAGAUAAAUGUAAGCCUUAACCUGAGAGCUUGCAGGCUCCAUUGAAAACAAGGCAAGUACCUCCGAAAAAAAUAGUUUUGAUCCAAAACACCCGAUUGAAUAGCAUCACGGAAUAUCCCAAAAUCAUAGAUAGUUGCAUUUUGGGUCUUUGUAGAGCAAAAAUCACUAAAAAAUGUGUAGUUUGUUAAACUGUCAUCGCAGUGCAAAGGAAGGAAAUCACAUCUGGUAAAAUCUGUGCAGGCUUUCUUCCAACAUUCAGCCUUUCUUUGUACAGCGAAAAAGUACCAUAAUGAUCCAAACACCUAAAGAACCGUCAAGUAGAUCACCAGGAACUAUAAAUUACCCAAAAAACAGUAAAGAGAAAUAGAACAUUUUGGAGACUUAAGAGGCAAGUAAACUUACGUUAGCAGCCUGUAGGUAACCGAAAUUGAACGUCAGAUUGGCCCAUUUAUUAAGGUUAUAUGAAUUCUUCCAUUCUGUAAUCAAUUUAGCCAAUCGGAUAACCUUUAACCCAUGUUGUACAAGAAACAGGUUCAUCAGAGAGAAAAAUUCCUGGCCACUAAUUCUUUGACUAUAAGCUAGAAGCACCAACACCUGAAUAGUUUGUAAAUAUUAAAAAAAAAAGAAAAUUAAUCGUACAAAAUACAACCUAUACAUGCUUGUGUCAAGGAAGCUCAUUAUGCAUGGAAGGAUGCAGCACACGUGUGAGAUGAAUACAGUCAGCUGAAUCAAUUGAAGAGUGAAGUGCCAGCUCAGCUGAAGUAAGUUAGACACGUUAAGAUCAUAUUCAGUUAGCUUCUUUAUUUUCUGUUAAGCUGUAAACAACUGAGUAUAAAUACAAGCAUCUUGUAAUCAUUUUGUUAUUAAGUAAAAUGAAAUAAAGCAUUUGAUUCAGAAGUCUUUUACAAAUUUUCUUAGCACUUUAAAUACAUUUUCUCAGUAACCAAACAGUCUAUUCAUUCAAGCUUUUAAGCUUUCAAACAUGGUAUCAGAGCCAUACAGAGCUAGUUCUAGUAAUCAACAGUCAAGCUUUCGUAAUCAAACAACAAACAACACAAAUCAAUCUACUCAAAUCAACUUCUCCUUUACUAAUCCUAUCAAGCUAGAUCGAUCAAAUUACUUACUCUGGCGCUCUCAAGUUUUAGCUUCAAUAAGAGGCAAUCGUUUGGAAGAUUUCGUCACAGGAGCCAAAUCAGUACCUGAUAAGUGUCUUCUGUUAACUGAAGCAGAUGGAUCUACACAACAAAUUGAAAAUCCAGAAUAUCAGAUCUGGAGAUCACAGGAUCAGACACUUCUUGGCUGGCUACUGUCGUCAUUAAGUGAAGGUAUCUUAAGUCUUGUAAUCAAUUGUGAGAGUUCAUUUGAUAUAUGGAAAACUUUGGAAAAGAAAUUUGGAGUUCAAUCUGAAGCUCGAGUUCUUCAGCUCAGAUAUGAACUAAACAUUCUUAAAAAGGAAGCUCUUAGUGUUGAAGAUUAUUGUAUUAAAAUAAAAGCAAUAGCUGAUAAGCUAGCCAAUGCUGGUAGUUCAAUUACAGAGAAGGAUCUUAUGUUAACUAUUCUUAAUGGAUUAGGACCAGGAGUUCGUGAUAUUGCUACAUUUAUAAAUGGUUCACGAAUGGAAUUUGAUGAUGCUUAUGCACUGUUACUCACUCAUGAGACUAGAUUAGAGCAGGAGCAAGGUGACAGAAGUAUGUUUAAUGCAAACUAUGCAUAUACGAAUGCAUAUUAUCCUAGAGCUUAUUUUGCACAACGUAGAGGAAGUUUUAAACGAGGAGGUUAUUCUGGUGGUAGAACUCCUUUCUUUGGCAGAGCAAAUAUGAAUUACUCUCCAAGAAUAUUUAAUGGAGGUGUUAGAAAUGGAUAUGGCAGAGGAUUUUUUCCUAGAAAUAACUCAGCUGAUUUCAAUCAUUUUUCAGCUCCUAGGAAUCCAGUACCUAAGAACUCAUCCUUUCUAGCUAGAAAUGGUGCUAAUAUGAGUGGAUCACAAGGAAGCUUUAAUAAUGCUGGGGAGCUGGUAUGUCAGAUUUGCUUUAAGAAUGGUCAUACUGCUGAUGUUUGUUGGCACAUAUUUAUUGAAGACUUUGUACCUGUUCCAAGAGGUUUUGGCAGGGAAAAAACACCAAGAGCAGCAUAUUUCUCAAACUUUGAUGGCUCUACUUCUAAUCCAGAUUUUGGCUAUGAAAAUAAUAAUAUGUUUCCAGGUUAUGAUUCUAUAUCUGGCAAUAGUUACUAUUCUGGAAUGGAUGGAUAUACUUCUGGAGCAGCUGGAACAGCUUUCAUGGCUAAUUUUGAAGGGACUGCUGAUGAUGGAUGGUAUCUGGAUAGUGGGGCAACUCACCAUUUAACCAACAAUAUGGAGAAUUUGCAUAUCAAUGAAGAGUUUAAAGGUACUGAUCAGCUUAUCAUUCGAAAUGGUCAAGGUUUGUCUAUUACUCAUGUUGGACAUGCAUUUCUGGUAUUAAGAGCUUCUAAAUCUUUAUCUACACAUGCUAGAAUAACACUUAAAGAUGUGUUACUUGCUCCUUCAAUUGCCAAAAAUCUAUUAAGUAUUUCCAAACUCACAUCUGAUAAUCCUGUAUCUGUUGAAUUUUGUGGAAAUGUUUGUUUUGUGAAGGACAUAAAGGGUCAAGUUCUUCUGCAGGGUAUUGCUGAAAAAGGCCUUUACAAGCUGCUGCUGAAAUCUAAUUCUCUUUCUUCAUCACCUACAUCUUAUCUUUGUAAAUCCCAACCAAAUAAACCAGUUUCUAUGUUAUCUGCUUUCAAACACUGUGAUAAUAGUACUCGAGCUUAAGAGGAUAGAUCCAAGAGUACCUAGUAUAAUCAUCCACAAAACUAAUAUAGUAUUUGUAUCCAUCUCUAGACACAGUGGGUGAAGGCCCCCAAAGAUCAGUAUGAAUCAAUUCUAAUACCCCUUUUGUUUUUGUUUCAGUUAUUGAGAAAUGUUGCUUAUGGACUUUGCCUAGCUGACAUGCUUCACAUAAAGUAUUUGCAGAAGAUAACAUGUCUUUUGGAGAGACUUUAAACUGUUUACAUGAUUUGAGCAAAUGCACCAAUGUCAUUGAGCUUGGAUGACCAAACUUUCUAUGUAACAAAGUUAUCAUAUCAGGUUUGACAUUACACUUAUUUAAAACAAACUGAUAGCAAGCUCGAGUACUAUUAUCACAGUGUUUGAAAGCAGAUAACAUAGAAACUGUUAAAUCACAAGCAUUUGAAGUUUUUAAAUUGUUCAAAACUCAAGUUGAGAAUCAGUUUGAUACCAAAAUUAAGAGGCUACAAUCUGACCUUGGGGGAGAGUUUAGAGCAUUUAUUGAUUUUCUGAAUCAAAAUGGAAUAAUGUUUAGACACUCAUGUCCUUACACUCAUCACCAGAAUGGUCUUGUUGAGAGGAAACACAUGCAUAUAGUUGAGCUAGGCUUAACCCUCAUGGCUCAAGCAAACCUUCCUUUUCAAUUCUGGUGGGAAGCUGUUCAUACAGCAGUGUAUCAUAUUAAUAGAUUGCCUACCCCUGUUCUGAAAUUCUUAUCUCCUUAAGAGAAACUUUUCAAACACAAACCAGAUUACACAUUCCUGAAGUGUUUUGGUUGUCUUUGCUACCCAUACUUGAGAGAUUUUAACAAACAUAAGUUUGAUUUUCACACCUCUAAAUGCAUUUUUAUUGGAUACAAUCCCUCUUAUAAAGGAUACAAGUGCUUAGCAAGUUCUGGCAAAGUCUAUGUUCUUAGACAUGUCAUUUUUGAUGAAAACACAUUCCCUUAUCCAAUAAACACUACAUCUCACUCAUCAGAAAACCCCAUAUCUUCUGAAACCUCAGUGUCUAAUUUCUCUCAACAACAUAUCUAUCAUCUUUCUACAAUGGCCUUACCCAACAGCAGCUUUGAAGGUCUUCAAUCAGCAGGCUCAGCAAGAAGUGAACAAAUGCCCUCUGUUCCCACACAUACAGAUAUUCUGAAUCAACAAGAACAUCCAUCACACACAUCUUUAGAGUUAUCAUCCUCAACCUCACUAUCACCAAACACAUUACCAGUACAAUCAUCCAUUCUACAAUCAGAGGAAACUUCUAUUCCACAGAACAUAGACCAAAUUCAAACCAGAAAUCAUUCCCAACCAUCUUCUCAUCCAAUGAUUACCAGAUCAAAAUCUGGAAUCUUCAAACCAAAGGUCUAUACAGUCACCUUAGCCAACAAAGAACCUAGUACAGUUCAAGAAGCUCUUAGUAGUCAGAAUUGGCAUCAAGCCAUGGUAGAUGAGUAUGCAGCUUUGAUAAAGAAUGAGACUUGGUCACUAGUACCAUUUUCAAAUGCAUACAAAGUAGUUGACAACAAAUGGGUGUUUAGACUUAAGCAAAAUACUGAUGGAAGCAUAGCCAAACACAAGGCCAGGUUGGUUGCCAAAGGUUUUCAGCAAACUGAAGGUGUGGAUUACUUUGAGACCUUUAGCCCAGUUGUAAAAGCUUCAACGGUAAGGAUUGUUCUGAGUUUAGCUGUGAUGCAUAAAUGGAAAAUAAGGCAAGUGGAUGUGAAUAAUGCCUUCUUGAAUGGAAACUUGACAGAGGAUGUCUAUAUGUAUUAGCCUGAAGGUUUUAUUGAUCAACAAAAACCCAAUCAUAUAUGUAAGCUUAAUCAAGCCUCGUAUGACUUGAAGCAAGCUCCUAGAGCUUGGUAUGACAAGCUUAAGAAUUGUCUUAUUGCUAAUUGGAAAUUUCAGAAUUCAAAGGCUGAUACCUCUCUCUUCUUCAAAGAAGUGCAGGGUUCAAUGAUACUUAUCUUAAUCUAUGUUGAUGACAUUCUAAUAACAAGACCUGAUAAUGGUGAGCUGGAAAAAUUCAUCUAAGAAUUCAGUAAGACUUUUGCCUUAAAAGACUUGGGAAUUCUGUCAUAUUAACAUAGACAAAAUUCAAACUAGAAAUCAUUCCCAACCAUCUUCUCAUCCAAUGAUUACCAGAUCAAAAUCUGGAAUCUUCAAACCAAAGGUCUAUACAGUCACCUUAGCCAACAAAGAACCUAGUACAGUUCAAGAAGCUCUUAGUAGUCAGAAUUGGCAUCAAGCCAUGGUAGAUGAGUAUGNNNNNNNNNNNNNNNNNNNNNNNNNNNNNNNNNNNNNNNNNNNNNNNNNNNNNNNNNNNNNNNNNNNNNNNNNNNNNNNNNNNNNNNNNNNNNNNNNNNNNNNNNNNNNNNNNNNNNNNNNNNNNNNNNNNNNNNNNNNNNNNNNNNNNNNNNNNNNNNNNNNNNNNNNNNNNNNNNNNNNNNNNNNNNNNNNNNNNNNNNNNNNNNNNNNNNNNNNNNNNNNNNNNNNNNNNNNNNNNNNNNNNNNNNNNNNNNNNNNNNNNNNNNNNNNNNNNNNNNNNNNNNNNNNNNNNNNNNNNNNNNNNNNNNNNNNNNNNNNNNNNNNNNNNNNNNNNNNNNNNNNNNNNNNNNNNNNNNNNNNNNNNNNNNNNNNNNNNNNNNNNNNNNNNNNNNNNNNNNNNNNNNNNNNNNNNNNNNNNNNNNNNNNNNNNNNNNNNNNNNNNNNNNNNNNNNNNNNNNNNNNNNNNNNNNNNNNNNNNNNNNNNNNNNNNNNNNNNNNNNNNNNNNNNNNNNNNNNNNNNNNNNNNNNNNNNNNNNNNNNNNNNNNNNNNNNNNNNNNNNNNNNNNNNNNNNNNNNNNNNNNNNNNNNNNNNNNNNNNNNNNNNNNNNNNNNNNNNNNNNNNNNNNNNNNNNNNNNNNNNNNNNNNNNNNNNNNNNNNNNNNNNNNNNNNNNNNNNNNNNNNNNNNNNNNNNNNNNNNNNNNNNNNNNNNNNNNNNNNNNNNNNNNNNNNNNNNNNNNNNNNNNNNNNNNNNNNNNNNNNNNNGAAAAACAACACUACCCCAGUGAUGGUAAUUGAAAUUACAAAGAUGUUUUCCAAGACAUUGGUACUUAACGGGAGACCUUGACCAAAACAACUGCAAAAGUCAAACCCACAAAUGUGUUAGAACCAAUGUUUUGAGCUUAAUUGAUAAAAAACACAAACAUACGUAUGCUUUAAUAUAUGCACAAAAAACAAAGAAAGGCGUACACAAAAAGAUUGUUAAGAGAAGAAUGAUGUAUAUUCACAACUUAACCUGAGAGUUUGCAGGCUCCAUUGAAAACAAGGCAAGUACCUCCGAAAAAAAUUGUUUUGAUCCAAAACACCAGAUUGAAUAGCAUCACGGAAUAUCCCAAAAUCAUAGAUAGUUGCAUUUUGAGUCUUUGUAGAGCAAAAAUCACUAGAAAAUGUGUAGUUUGUUAAACUGUCAUCACAGUGUAAAGGAAGGAGGCCACAUCUGGUAAAAUCUGUGCAGGCUUUCUUCCAACAUUCAGCCUUUCUUUGUACGGCGAAAAAGUACCAUAAUGAUCCAAACACCUAAAGAACCAUCAAGUAGAUCCCGGGAACUAUAAAUUACCCAAAAAAACAGUAAAGAGAAAUAGAACAUUUUGGAGACUUAAGAGGCAAGUAAACUUACGUUAGCAGCCUGUAGGUAACCGAAAUUGAACGUCAGAUUGGCCCAUUUAUUAAGGUUAUAUGAAUUCUUCCAUUCUGUAAUCAAUUUAGCCAAUCGGAUAACCUUUAACCCAUGUUGUACAAGAAACAGGUUCAUCAGAGAGAAAAAUUCCUGGCCACUAAUUCUUUGACUAUAAGCUAGAAGCACCAACACCUGAAUAGUUUGUAGAUAUUAAAAAAAAUAUAUAUAUUAACCGUACAAAAUACAACCUAUACAUGCUUGCUAGGAAUCCAACAUAAAUUACUUUGGGCGGUCAGAGGUGUGCGUGUGUGCCCCUCCUUCGCAAGUUGGAACAAAUAAAUUAAAAGUAGACAGAACAAACAUUGACCUGUGGGAGUGGAAGAAUGAUGGAGAGAUCAAGUAGGAAGACGGGCAACAGAGAUUUGCUAUAAUUUCGAUGUAGACUCUCCCGUAUUUCUGAAGUUCUAUUUGUCAAAUACCAUAUACCAAAUGCUGAACGUUCAGCAAUAACCACACUCAUCACCCAUCUGUCAAAUUGGAAGCACUUUUUCUCAUCGUUGGUCACAGGAAUGUACAAGAAAACAGGAUCCAAUACCAUUGAAUACAAACAACACAGCCAGAAAGCCUCAUGCAGCGGAAUAUAGAGAAAUGGAACUCCAAAAACAGAUAUUUCUCUUACUUCACCCUGCGGAAUACGCAGAAAUGGACAAACAUUUAUUUCUCUUACUCCUCUCAUGAUCCUACUGGUCCUGUUCAUUUCAACGCCAGAAACCAGUCUCGACGUUCCUUCCUCUAAAUUCAUUCAAGUCCUGAGACCUUGGAAAAAAAAAAAUCAUCUUCAUCAUGGUCACCGUA